UUGCAACUUGCAAUGCAAUUCUACUCUUGAGAGAUGUUAAUUAGUAAAAUCUGUGAAGAAUUUUCGAUAUGUUGAGAAAACAUCAGCGAGUAUAGUGAAAACUUGUAUUUGGUAAUUUUACAUCUCUCAAGAGUAGAAUUGCCUUGCAAGUUGCAA
rnacentral:miRNA from 1 species